ensembl:lncRNA
GAGAGACGAGGUAAUGAGCAGCCCAAAUUAUGUUUAAAGCAGCGGUUCUCAAACCUGAAGGACUUGUUAAAACAUUCUAGGAGAGACCUCUGAGGGUUUUUUUUUUCUAAUUAAGUUUAUUGGUGCAUUUUAGGUGUAAAUUAUGAUCACAUGCAUCAUAGGGAAUUUGUGUCUGUAUAUGAUAUAUCUUGUUUUUGUUUUGGUGCCAGGGAUCAAACUCAGGAUCUUGUGGUUGCCAGGCAGGUGCUAAGCUACAUCCCCAGCUGUAUAAGGUGUAUCUUGGUUCUUACUUUUUCCCCAUUCCUCUUCCCUCCCUUCAGCUCCUCCAUCCCUCCAUAUUUACAAAAGCCUUGUCUCCAUUUUUUCCUUCUCAGUUUUUCUUUCCCUCGGCUCCCUCCUAGUUCCCCUUUUAACAUUUUCUUAUUUCCCGAAAAAUAUGGACUGCUUCAUGAAUUUGCAUCUCAUCCUUGCUCAGGGUCCACUCUAAUCUCUGUAUCAUUGCAAUUUUAGUGUAUGUGCUGCUGAAUCUAGCACCCCCAAGUUUCUUCAGUAAAUUUGGGGGUGAGGCCUCAAUUAGUGUUUCUAACAGGGCCACAGGUGAAGCUGUUGCUCCUGGUUUAGGGAACAUACUUUGAGAGCCACUGUUUAGGACAUCAAGAAAAAAAUUGGAAAGAUUUGGUAUUUCACACAAAGCUUUGAAGUACUUAUGGGGCAAAUCAGAAACUUGGGCUUCAUUACCUUUAGGGUUUGUUGUGAUUUUUAAAGCUUAUUUUUGGACACAUAAUAUUUGUAUGUAUUUGUGGAGUACUGUACAAUUUUGAUACAUGUAUACAAUGUUUAAUGACCAAAUCAUGCUAUUUUCUAUAUCAUCAAUCAUUUCUACGUAUUGGUAACUCAUGCUUUUCUAGUUAUUUGAAAAUACAGAUUUUUGUAGCCUAUUAGACUAUUGAACACCAGAACUAAUUUCUUCUAUGUGACUGUGUUUUCUCCCCGAUCUAAUCUCUCUGCAUUGUUCUUCAUCUCCUUCCUGGUCUCUAUUCCACUUUUUUGAUACCAAUUUUUUAGUUUCUACAAAUGAGCAAGAACAUGGAGUAUUUGCUUCAUGUGCCUGGCUUAUUUCACUUAACAUGAUGUCCUCCAAAGUGUGAUUUUUAAAAAUAUUUCAAAUUGUAUUUGAGGAGGGACAUAAAACUACCAUAAUUCUUUCAUUGGUAGAGCUAGCAGUCCUAAGCUCUAUAUGAACCCCCAAGCCAAAGCAUUUCUUUAUAUAAACUUCAGCUUUCAACCCCCUAUGAUAAUGUCUCCUUCAUGUGGAUUUUCCCUGUGGGUCUUGUAGUAGCCCACAACAAAAUACCAUGUGGAGAAUAGCAAAAUCUCUCAUGCUCAAAUCUCACUUUUCUCGACAAAAAGCCAUAGGACAGAAAUACUGUUUGUCUUGUCUUCCAGAUCGAUAGGCAGAUAUAUUUUGAAAGUUCAAGCCUAUGACAGAAAACCUGACACACAUGGCAUGCAAAUACAGAGGACCUGCCAGGGUUAUAGAAAUGAAGUGCUUUUGUUUUUGUAUAAAUUUUCCAUUUGUUCUUGCACUUUGUGCUGUCUACCAUCCCAGGAAAUACUUCUAUUUUAAAUGGAGGAAAUCAGGAGCAGGAAGCUUUCAAACAUGCCCAGAACCAUACAGCUCAUGAGGUAUAUGAAGUGAAGGCGCGUGGCUUCCAAACUCUGCAUUCUUUUCUUCAGAACAUAUUGUAAUUCAAAUGCCAGAACACUGGAUCUAAAGGGAAGAAAGGAUUUGAUAUUUUUAACCCUGUAAAGUAGAAUGUAAAAAAGACAACAAUUUCCAAGUCCAUGAAGCAGUUACCAUGUAGUUAGAAAUCAGAUGCAAUUUAUGAUACCUAAGGAAAGAACAAUAGGGAAAUGAAAUAGAGAAGUAGAAAAGGUUUAAGGUAAAACAUCUGAAUAGUUAGCUAACAGUCAGGGUCAGAAAGAAAUUCUAUUGGCCCUUAAAAGAAGACGGGGCAGAAAACUCAUGGGUUCCGUUAAAUCCUACUGUGUUACAAGCCACUCCCAAAAUGUAGUGGCUUAAAAACAAAGUGUGUUUGCUCACAGUUCUCUGGGUUAGAGGUGCGGAUGGGUGAGUGAGGAUGGCUGUUUCCGCUCCGUGUGUUGACGGGGGUGCCUCAGCUGGAAGAUCUAAGACAUCUUCAUCUGGGCCCGGUGCCGCUGGGUGGGACCCCUGGGACCCCUCCCACCCCGUGUGGCGACCAGGUGGGAAGACUGAGGCCUAAUUGGCCUCUUCGGCCAGCACUGAGAGGAAAAGGGGGAUCCAAGCGAGCUAACACGCCGCAGGGAGAAGUAGAAACACCGGAGGGUAGGUUGUUUACCCGGAGAAGUACCGUGGGGGUGGAGACAGAUGGAUUCUGUGAACUGUAAUUGCUCUGCCCGUGUCUGGGUGAAUAAAGCCAAGGUGGCCAGUGGCUUGCGGCUCUAUAUCGAAGGGAGACGUGAGCUCUCUGGCCUCCCAGAUUUUAACCUGUUUCUGUGUCUCUAUUUUUCAUUCUUAUCACCCCUUGGCCAGGUUCGAGCUCAGCUGGUGGGCUGGUUCCUGCCCUCCCAUCCCUCUGGUCUUGAGAAAGUAGCCCAGCUUGAGCAUUUUUCACGUGAUACGUUUGUGAGAGCGUGAAAAGGGUCACGCAGCCUUCUGUGGUGUCAGUUAAAGCAAGUCACUGGGCCAGCCUGGGUUCAAAGUGAUGGGAAACCUACUCUACUCUUGAGGGGAGAAGGGUACAAGCUCGCUGCAAAAAAAAAAAAGGGGGCACGGUUAGGCUGAGUAAAAGAAGCCAGACAGGGCUGGGGAUUUGAUUUAGCUCAGUGGUUCUGUCUGCCCUGUAAGUGCAAGGACCCGGGGUUCAAUCCCCGGUACAAAAAAAAGCUAGCCACAAAAGAGUGCAUUGUUUGAUUAUAUGAAAUUCUAGAAAAGGCAAACUAAUAGAUAGUGGCGGAAAGUAAAUCACUGGUUGCUCAAGGCUGGAAAGAAGGGAUUGCUAGCAAAGGGGGAUGAGGGAAAUUGAGGGCGUAGUGGCUAUACCCCACACCUUGAGUGGUAAUAUAUACAGAGAUGUACACGUUUGUGAAAGUGCAUGAUUUUACAGUAAUUAGGUAAAUAUCUUAAAAAUAAGAUCGGAAAUGGGAAGGAUUGUUGAGACCAUCUUCAGAAAUAACCAUAUGUGAAAGCUUAGAUCUGAAAGGACAUUAGAAGAUCUUCUGGUCCAAUGUCCUACAAAUAAGGAAAGAGAGGCCCAGAGAGAGCAACUUGCCAACUUAGGGAGUCAGUAACAAAACUAGGAUUGGAAUCUAGACUAACCACAGCCUUGCUGUCAUUCCUCCCAAACCCUCUGAAAUCAGGGAAAGGACACCCUAGGCUCGCAUCAACAAGACUCCCCUACAUAUAAGAGCUGGGCCACACGAACUGCAUCUCCUCGUAUUUGCAGAAUCAGAUUCUGCCCUCGUAUUUAUCGAUCACGGUCACGGUUGCUGGGGAAGGGGAAGCAGGAGGGGUGAGGAAAACGUGCCCAGGGGACUGAGGAAAUGAGGAUGAAGCGCCCUCCCAGGACAUCUUACCUACCAGAGGCUGCCGAUUUCUGAUACCCGGCAAUUUGCACGCUCCCGGGAAGCAUGUGCUUGUGAAAUGUUUCGUGAACGAAGGAAAGAGGUGUAGCUGCCCAGAUUCCUGCUGCGGCCCCAGGGAACCUUGCGGUGUUUCCCAAUCCCGCCAGAAGUGGAGUAAAGUUGUGUUUGACAAUCAUUGCCUCAAGUUGCUCGACGAACUAACGUUUCUGGCUUAGAACAGUUUGCUGGCCCUGGGAGAAGCAGAGCCAGUGACUGGUGAGAGAGAGAACUUAGAAGUGACAGAGUUGCCUCCUCAGCCUACGCUUGGGGAUCCCUUCCCUGUCCCCCAGCUUUGCUUAGCCUUGGAACUCGCCGGCACCUACUGGAGAGGUGGGGAGCAAGUACAGCAAAUGUCUGUCAGGCAAGAGAGCAAGGAAUGAAAAUGAAAAUGCCAUAGAAAGCUGCCAGGAUUAGACACAGAUGGGUCAGGAGCCAAGCAAAGUUCACCAUGGGCCCUUGAGAAUGUCUCUUGGUAUUUCUGACAAUACAAAAUCAAUUUACAUUUAUUUAAAAAAAUUUUAUUGGUAUAUUUUAGGUACACAAUAUAAUGACAUUCAUCACUGGAAAUUUGUACCUUCACAUAAUCUUUCUUGGUUCUUAUUUUUCCCCCUUCCCGUGCUCUCCUUUAAACCCCUCCAUCCCUUCCUAUUUACAAAGAUUUUGUUUCCAUUUUUUCAUUUUCUCAUAUUAAUUCCAUUCCCUUCUUUCCUUUCCUUAUACAUUUAAUACAUUUUAAAAUAGCUAACCUGCCCAUAUUACUUGCUAUUACUAUGGGAAGAUAAAAUUGAAUCUUAAUGUGGUUCACGAGUGUAUUCAAUGGAGAUUUAUUAUUUCUAAAAAUGCUUUGUGUAAUCACAGUACUUUAUCAUUGAAAUGUUGAGGUUUUGUGAUAUAAAUUAGCUUCAUAAUUAAAAUGCUAUUGUCUACUAAUGCUACCACAGCAUUUUCCCCAAGGCAGAGACACUCUUAAAAAAAAAAAAAAAAAAAAAUCCUAUACACUGUCAAGGAUGAGUGAGCUCCUCUUAAGAGAGUCCUCCUUCACAUCCCUUAUUUAUUAAUACUGCUUUAUUCUCCCCUGGAUUGACCGUAUCAGAAUGAGUGCUAAUGAAGCCAAAGAGCACAAAAUUGGAAGUAGUCGUCAUCUCAGCCAAGGGGUGCAGUGGUCUGCAGAAUACCCACACCUCUGGUUUUACAGUGGCAUUGCUUCCUGAGGCUCAUCAAACGAUGUGGUUAGGGAAAUCAUAAAAGUAUAGAGAGAUAUACGAUCCAGUCUUUUGAAGUUCCAGGGGUCAGGGAUGUGGCUUUACUGGUAGUGCAUUCACUCAGUGCACAUAGGCUCUAGGUUUGACCACAUGUGUGGCAAAAAAUACAAACAAGAAGUUCCUGUUUGGCCAGAGUAGCUGAUUCCGCGUGGUUUUAGGGGAGGGACUGGGAAAGGUGUAAGGAAGGCACAGAAAAGCUGGGCUGACAGUGACCUGGGCUGGAAGGACGGUGGAAAAGAGCCAGGAAAUAUUCCUCCUGGUGUCUCGGCUGUUACAACCCAGGUGGUCAAGAACAAAAGACGAGUUUUGGGGCAUGCUGCUCUUGAAAGCACAGUAUAUUUCAACUGCGAGACAAAGCAGCCCCCCAGGUGCCUAAAAGAAACCAGACUCCGUGGGCUCAGGCAAACUGGGCAUUGGAACUUAAAUGCUCAUAAUCACCUCCCAUCCUGGUUGUCCUUUAGGUUGCUGUUUAUGCAAAGAUGAUAAAAUGGAACUGAUUAGAGCAGAGGCAUUCGCCCUUCUGCUACUAAGAACUCUCUUCAUUUUGCCGGAUCCUCAUCUCGGCAAAGGAAAUCAUAAACGUUUCUCUACUUUGAUUAGACACAGCAUCUGACCAGCAUAAAAGGCCACGUACUGCCUGCCCUACAGUGCUGAUAUACUUCUAGCCAAAAGGGAGGGCACAGGGGAUUUCAGGUACAGGAAACAACCCCGAAGCAGGGCCAGCUAUGAUUAUUGUUAAAUGCUUUGAAAUCUUUAAAAUAGCCUGAGGACUCCUUGCGCUGUUGUGAACCCUCUCC